rnacentral:rRNA from 1 species
UGGGGGAUAUUGCACAAUGGGGGAAACCCUGAUGCAGCGACGCCGCGUGGGUGAAGGAGUAUUUCGGUAUGUAAAGCCCAGUCAGCAGGGAAGAGAGUGACAGUACCUGAAGGGGAAGCCCCGGCUAACUACGUGCCAGCAGCCGCGGUAAUACGUAGGGGGCAAGCGUUAUCCGGAUUUACUGGGUGUAAAGGGAGCGUAGACGGUUAAGUAAGUCUGGAGUGAAAGCCCGCGGCCCAACUGCGGGACUGCUCUGGAAACUGUUUAGCUGGAGUACAGGAGGGGCAGGCGGAAUUCCUGGUGUAGCGGUGAAAUGCGUAGAUAUCAGGAGGAACACCGGCGGCGAAGGCGGCCUGCUGGACUGAGACUGACGUUGAGGCUCGAAAGCGUGGGGAGCAAACAGG